rnacentral:rRNA from 1 species
AAACGCUUGAAGUCAGUCGCGACGUUCGGGACUCAGCCUUGCUUCUGCUUGGUGUACUUCCUGUUCGUUGGGUCAGCAUCAGUUUUGGUCGGUGGAAAAAGGUGUAGAGAACGUGGCAUCUUCGGGUGUGUUAUAGCUCUAGGUGCA